rnacentral:misc_RNA from 1 species
UUUCCGUAGGUGAACCUGCGGAAGGAUCAUUAUUGUAUAACCGAGGUGCGAGUGCUGUCGCUGACCCGAAAGGUCGUGCACGCCCGAGUGCCCUCACACACAUCCAUCUCACCGCUAUGUGCACCACCGCGUGGGUCGCCCUUUGGCUUGUUCGGAGGGGGGCUUACGUUUUCACACAAACUUUGUAUGCAGUGUAGAAUGUAUUUUUUGUUUUUGCGAUCACGCAAUAAAUACAACUUUCAACAACGGAUCUCUUGGCUCUC